rnacentral:rRNA from 1 species
UUGACCUCGGAUCAGGUAGGGAUACCCGCUGAACUUAAGCAUAUUAAUAAGCGGAGGAAAAGAAACCAACAGGGAUUGCCUCAGUAACGGCGAGUGAAGCGG